CCACCUAUCCUCUAUUUUAAAGGCUAUCAAGGUGGGUGUCAAAGUGAAGGCAUACUAUGUGUGGGCAUUUCAUGAUAAUUUUGAAUGGGGUCAUGGUUACACUGUCCGAUUUGGCAUCGUUUAUGUUGAUUAUAAGAAUAAUCAGAAACGUUAUCUCAAAUACUCUGCUUAUUGGUUUAAAAAAUUCCUCCUAAAUUAACAUUUAACCUAGCUAAUCCUAUGACUAAGC
rnacentral:misc_RNA from 1 species